rnacentral:ribozyme from 1 species
UGCCUAUCAAUUCCUAUCCCUACCUCCUCGUGGUACCAGCUGGAAACUACGAGCAACCUUAGGGAAGAUCGGGUAACCAACCCCGGUGGGAACUUUGAUCGUACGCUAACAGAGAAAG